AGUAGUUUGAUCAGUGGCUCAGGACGAACGCUGGCGGCACGCUUAACACAUGCAAGUCGAACGGAGAUAUUUUGAGUUUACUUAAGAUAUCUUAGUGGCGGACGGGUGAGUAACACGUGAGCAACCUGCCUUGGAGAGAGGGAUAGCUUCUGGAAACGGAUGGUAAUACCUCAUAACAUACAUGGACCGCAUGAUCUGUGUAUCAAAGAUUUAUCACUCUGAGAUGGGCUCGCGUCUGAUUAGCUAGUUGGUGAGGUAACGGCUCACCAAGGCGACGAUCAGUAGCCGGACUGAGAGGUUGAACGGCCACAUUGGGACUGAGACACGGCCCAGACUCC
rnacentral:rRNA from 1 species